AGGAGGAACAGCCCCAGUGGCGGGGCAGCUCUGGAGACCUGGAUUCAGCCCCCGCAGUAACUCCGGAGCUCUCCGUCUGCAGGGCCUGGAGGCUCCAGGGCGGG
rnacentral:pre_miRNA from 1 species